UACAGAGGUCCCAAGCGUUACUGAGAAUCACUGGGUUUAAAGGGUGCGUAGGUGGUCCGUUAAGUCAGUUGUGAAAUCCCCGGGCUCAACCCGGGAACUGCUUCUGAUACUGGCGGACUUGAGGCCAGUAGGGGUCACUAGAACUGACGGUGGAGCGGUGAAAUGCGUAGAUAUCGUCAGGAAUGCCGGUGGUGAAGACGGGUGACUGGGCCGAUACUGACGCUGAGGAGCGAAAGCGUGGGGAGCGAACAGG
rnacentral:rRNA from 1 species